GAAUCAAAGUACUGGGAGGACUGGGAAAUAGCAGGUAAUUAUAAAGGAUCAUAAAGUACUGGGAAAUAGCAGGUAAUUAUAAAGGAUCAUAAAGUACUGGGAAAUAGCAGGUAACUAUAUAGAAUCAAAGUACUGGGAGGACUGGGAAAUAUAGCAGGUAUAUAUAGAAUCAAAGUACUGGGAGGACUGGGAAAUA